UUAAGAUAUUGUGCACAGUAUGGUACUAAGGGCUGAUCCCCCUAAGUACGAGUAGAAAGGUCCAUAGUCUUAUGACUGUUAAAGGUUUCAAGUAUAACCCUUGAUAACCUAGGACAUAGUUCAAGGUCUUAUGACCCUCGGAAUUCUUUUGAUUCUUGUUAUUCAUUCUUGAUUCAAAAGUUGAGCUUUUAUUCAGAUGUCUU
rnacentral:lncRNA from 1 species